rnacentral:lncRNA from 1 species
GCGGCCCAAAUGGGCUCGUUCUGCUAUUAAGAAUUUAGCAAUUCCUACAAAGAGUAGUUUUGUUUCGGUUUCUGGUUUUGGGUUCCCGAAAGUUGCGUCAUCUGAGCCGUCUACAAUCUUGUUUUCUGAUACCAGCUGAUAUAUGCAUGCAGAGAAUUUCGUCGUCGAAAUUGGAUGGUGAGAUGAAGAAUUUUGUGGGAGAAGAAGAUUUGAAGCAUAUAUCUAAAACUUGUUAA